UAAGCCGUUGAAGGUGUCCUGUGAGGGGUGCUGGAGGUAUCAGAAGUGCGAAUGCUGACAUAAGUAACGAUAAAGCGGGUGAAAAGCCCGCUCGCCGGAAGACCAAGGGUUCCUGUCCAACGUUAAUCGGGGCAGGGUGAGUCGACCCCUAAGGCGAGGCCGAAAGGCGUAGUCGAUGGGAAACGGGUUAAUAUUCCCGUACUUGGUGUUACUGCGAAGGGGGGACGGAGAAGGCUAUGUUGGCCGGGCGACGGUUGUCCCGGUUUAAGCGUGUAGGUGUGUGUUCCAGGUAAAUCCGGUUCACUUUAACACUGAGGCGUGAUGACGAGGCACCACGGUGCUGAAGCAACAAAUGCCCUGCUUCCAGGAAAAGCCUCUAAGCAUCAGGUAACAUCAAAUCGUACCCCAAACCGACACAGGUGGUCAGGUAGAGAAUACCAAGGCGCUUGAGAGAACUCGGGUGAAGGAACUAGGCAAAAUGGUGCCGUAACUUCGGGAGAAGGCACGCUGACACGUAGGUGAAGUGAUUUACUCAUGGAGCUGAAGUCAGUCGAAGAUACCAGCUGGCUGCAACUGUUUAUUAAAAACACAGCACUGUGCAAACACGAAAGUGGACGUAUACGGUGUGACGCCUGCCCGGUGCCGGAAGGUUAAUUGAUGGGGUCAGCGCAAGCGAAGCUCCUGAUCGAAGCCCCGGUAAACGGCGGCCGUAACUAUAACGGUCCUAAGGUAGCGAAAUUCCUUGUCGGGUAAGUUCCGACCUGCACGAAUGGCGUAAUGAUGGCCAGGCUGUCUCCACCCGAGACUCAGUGAAAUUGAACUCGCUGUGAAGAUGCAGUGUACCCGCGGCAAGACGGAAAGACCCCGUGAACCUUUACUAUAGCUUGACACUGAACAUUGAGCCUUGAUGUGUAGGAUAGGUGGGAGGCUUUGAAGCGUGGACGCCAGUCUGCGUGGAGCCGACCUUGAAAUACCACCCUUUAAUGUUUGAUGUUCUAACGUGGACCCGUAAUCCGGGUUGCGGACAGUGUCUGGUGGGUAGUUUGACUGGGGCGGUCUCCUCCUAAAGAGUAACGGAGGAGCACGAAGGUUGGCUAAUCCUGGUCGGACAUCAGGAGGUUAGUGCAAUGGCAUAAGCCAGCUUGACUGCGAGCGUGACGGCGCGAGCAGGUGCGAAAGCAGGUCAUAGUGAUCCGGUGGUUCUGAAUGGAAGGGCCAUCGCUCAACGGAUAAAAGGUACUCCGGGGAUAACAGGCUGAUACCGCCCAAGAGUUCAUAUCGACGGCGGUGUUUGGCACCUCGAUGUCGGCUCAUCACAUCCUGGGGCUGAAGUAGGUCCCAAGGGUAUGGCUGUUCGCCAUUUAAAGUGGUACGCGAGCUGGGUUUAGAACGUCGUGAGACAGUUCGGUCCCUAUCUGCCGUGGGCGCUGGAAGACUGAGGGGGGCUGCUCCUAGUACGAGAGGACCGGAGUGGACGCAUCACUGGUGUUCGGGUUGUCAUGCCAAUGGCACUGCCCGGUAGCUAAAUGCGGAAAAGAUAAGUGCUGAAAGCAUCUAAGCACGAAACUUGCCCCGAGAUGAGUCUUCCCUGAGACCUUGAGUCUCCUGAAGGAACGUUAAAGACGAUGACGUUGAUAGGCCGGGUGUGUAAGCGCAGCGAUGCGUUGAGCUAACCGGUACUAAUGAACCGUGAGGCUUAACCUUACAACGCCGAAG
rnacentral:rRNA from 2 species